rnacentral:rRNA from 1 species
ACGAACGCUGGCGGCGUGCUUAACACAUGCCAGUCGAACGGAAAGGCCCUGCUUUUGCGGGGUGCUCGAGUGGCGAACGGGUGAGUAACACGUGAGUAACCUGCCCUUGACUUUGGGAUAACUUCAGGAAACUGGGGCUAAUACCGGAUAGGAGCUCCUGCUGCAUGGUGGGGGUUGGAAAGUUUCGGCGGUUGGGGAUGGACUCGCGGCUUAUCAGCUUGUUGGUGGGGUAGUGGCUUACCAAGGCUUUGACGGGUAGCCGGCCUGAGAGGGUGACCGGCCACAUUGGGACUGAGAUACGGCCCAGACUCCUACGGGAGGCAGCAGUGGGGAAUAUUGCACAAUGGGCGGAAGCCUGAUGCAGCAACGCCGCGUGCGGGAUGACGGCCUUCGGGUUGUAAACCGCUUUCGCCUGUGACGAAGCGUGAGUGACGGUAAUGGGUAAAGAAGCACCGGCUAACUACGUG